UAUUGACAGUCCCUACGAUAUCAAGAUGUGAUGAUACGGAGCUCAAGAUCAACUAACGUGAUAAAAACUUCGUAUAUAAUAGUAGUAGUCAGAAUCAUAAAACUCUCAACAAAUCCUCCCUGCUUGACCUACAUUCAAUACACAAAUAUCAACUAAGGUAAUUGAAAUAGUUUGAAUUGAUUAAAACCGUUACAAGUAUGAACUUGAUAAGUUAUAAAU
rnacentral:lncRNA from 1 species